rnacentral:lncRNA from 1 species
AAUUGUGCUCUUGGAUAUGUUGAAGAUAAGAAGAUUUGUUCAAAUGGGUAUCAUGCAAUGCAUCACAGAGGAUUGCAGAUGAUGAUCUCUCCUGCUUCUGGUGGUGGAACAAGAAGAAAUCUUCAUACCCACAUGUAAUUUUGCAUAAUUAUUAUCUUGAUUUUUCUUUUGUUUAUUUUUUCUCCCAUAGUUUCAAAGGAAAUUUAUUAUAUUUGAAAGUUUAAUUUAUGAACUAGGGUGAAGGUAAAGGAUGAUAUGGUUAGCCCACCACCAGUACCGCCAGUGCCCAAUCAUCAGGGGAUUAACUUCGUUAAAUGGUAAUAUUUACAUUUAGAAUUAUUUUUUAAAAAAAUUAUUAUUUAAAAAAAUUUAUUAAUUAAUUCUUUAAUUUUUAAUAAAUAUAUUAAAAUAUUUAUAAAAUAUUAAAAAUAUAGUUAAUUUUAACAAUUAAUGAUUGAAACUAUUUUGGCUAUUCACUUAAUAAAAGAAGGACACUUUUGAAGAGAAAAAUCUCUUUAAUGUUAAAAAUAACUGAAUUAUUUUUUUUUUAAAUAAAACUAGUGAUUGUAUUAAUAAAAUUUCAUCAAAUAAAUAAAGAUAUUAUCCCAAAUUGAGAGAUGAGUAUGCCUAAUAGAUUCUAUAGUUAAAGUUUAAGCAGUUAGAAUAGUAUUACGACGAAUCCAUCCAACAGAAAUAUCAAUUAUAAAGUCUAACAAAGAUUUACAAUUAUUCAAAAUCAAACCCCUGCAUAAGAUAAUUUGGUAAAAAUGCUCCUCUUUCUUUCUCAUCUCUCAAGUAUAAAUUAUUAAAGUCUCCUGAAUAAAGUUACGGAAGAAGGUUUCUAUGAGAUAAAACUCAAAUAAGAUUUUAAAACUGGCGUUGUCGUUGCGAUUCUAGAAAUCCAUAAUAACUAGUAAACCUCUAUUGAACAUUAACUUUCGAAAUAACCGAAUCAAUAAAAUUUGAAGAAAAGUCAACCACAGAAACAGACACAUGACUUUUUCACAUUAAUGAAAGGCUUUCUCCCAAUCCUUGUCUAUUGAUUGAGAAGCAACCAUCAAAAUAUAAAAAAUUACGAAAAAAUUCUAUAUGAAAACUAAGAGCUUUUGUUUUCUAUAAAAAAUAAAAUGUAUUGGAUUGUAUGUGAGAAAUCUCUCCACCAUACAAAAAUCAUAACUGACGAUCGGAAUAUCUCCGAAACUCUCAAUAGGGACAACAAUAUAUUUUUUUUCAUUGAUAGUCAAUUGACUUAGAUCGUCUUCUAUGGGAAGGGGAAAGAAUAUAUUAGGUUUAAGAAAGAAAAAAAUGCGAGAGUAUCGAGUCACAAAGGGACUAUAGAGAGAAACUUGCGUAAAAAAUAACUGAAUUACUUUAAAAGUCUAAUCUUAUGAAGUAAUUAUUAUAUUUUUUAAAAUUUUAGAGAUAUUUUAAUAUAUUUUUUAAAUUUUAUACAUUAAUUAAUGAAUAAUAAUUUUCUUAAUAUUUUCCUAACAAUGAAAAUAAAACAUUCAUUUUAUUUAUUAUAUUUUUACUUAAAAUUUUGAAUUUUGGGAAUUAAUAAUUAGUUGGAGUAGAACUUGGAAUCGUUUUAUUGGUUCAAUUUGAAUUUUUUGAAAUAUAUCGAAUAAUAAUUUAUUAAGCAUGAAGAGUCUGCAUUGGAUCAAAUGAGAAAGAUAGAAAUAAAGGAAUUAAUAAAAAAAAAUAAUUGAAUUUAAUUUUUGUAAAAUUUUUUAAUUACAAAGGCAAAAAAUGGGCUAAUAACUUUAGAAAAUUAUAAUUAGGAAGAAGAAGGGGUAUAGGGUUUCGAAAUUUUAGUAGUUUUAAUUUGUCUUUACUAGGCAAGCAUUUGUGGAGGUUCUUAACAAAUUCUAAUACUCUUUGUUAUAAAGUGUUUAAAGCAAAAUAAUUUCCACAUGAUGAUUUAUUUUCCGCCAAUGUAAGUAAUGAUGCUGUUUUGUUUGGAAAAAUGUGAUGGCAUCAAGAGAGUUGAUUUGGAGGGGCAGAAGGUGGAGGAUGGAUAAUGGAGAGAAGAUUUUAGUGGCUUCAGCUCCUUGGAUUCCUAAGGAAGAUACUUUUUUUUUCAGAUGAUGACCCGAUUUUAUUGAACCACAUUUGCGUGUUUGUAAUCUUUUCGAAGGUAAUGGGAGGGUUUGGAAUAUUGCUAUUUUAAUGGAGCUUUUUUCUUCAAGAGAUAUCAGGACUAUUAUUAGUAUUCUUAUUAGUAUUACUAAUAAGAAAGGUUCCUUCUUGUGGCACUUUGAUAAAAGAGGUGUGUAUACGGCGAAGUCCGCAUAUUUUGUGUGUAUGGACUUGUUAGUAAGAUCAUAUUUUAAUGUGGAAGUGAGUUGUGGACUAGUUUGUGGAAUGUUUCGAUCCCUCUAAAAGUGAAGGAUUUCUGUUGGAGAGCUUGUAGAAAUAUAUUGCCUACAAAAGAUAACUUAAGGUAAAGGGGUGUGGAUAUGGAUGCUAGAUGUCCUUGGUGCCAUGAAGAUGAAAGUGUCAAUCAUAUUUUAUUGCACUGUCCUGUGUUCAAGGAAGUUUGGAGGUUAGGGGGAGUGGGAGAUUUGCAGCCUAAUGUUAAUUUUUUUUAAUUUUUUAAUGUAGAUUUUAAAGUUCCAAGACAAGAUUUGAAAAAUCUUUGUAAUGAUCUGUGCAUGAAGAUUAUGGUCAGC